rnacentral:rRNA from 1 species
GGCGAACCGUGCGAACGUUGUUCGGAUUCACUGGGCUUAAAGGGCGCGUAGGCGGCUCGCCAAGUCGGGGGUGAAAUCUUUCGGCUCAACCGGAAAACAGCUUCCGAUACUGGCGGGCUCGAGUGGGGUAGGGGCGACUGGAACUUCCGGUGGAGCGGUGAAAUGCGUAGAUAUCUGGAGGAACACCGGUGGCGAAGGCGGCAUCCUGGACCAACACUGACACUGAGGAGCGAAAGCCAGGGGAGCAAACGGG